rnacentral:ribozyme from 1 species
AUCAUGAUGAAGUUAUAUCAUGAUGAAGAUAUCUCCGACGCCUCUAGAAGGCUACUAUAGGCUCUCCUUCUCAACUCCUACUCAAUACGUCCACGUCGUGCAGAACGGUAACUUGUUGCUCAGAUCCAAGCUUGGGUACACGGGGAAACCCAACCCCUCGGGCGGAUGAGCGGCAAGGCAGAAUUGAGAGGU